rnacentral:rRNA from 1 species
GACGAACGCUGGCGGCGUGCCUAAUACAUGCAAGUAGAACGCUGAAGCGAGGAGCUUGCUCUUCUUGGAUGAGUUGCGAACGGGUGAGUAACGCGUAGGUAACCUGCCUUGUAGCGGGGGAUAACUAUUGGAAACGAUAGCUAAUACCGCAUAACAAUGGAUGACGCAUGUCAUUUAUUUGAAAGGGGCAAUUGCUCCACUACAAGAUGGACCUGCGUUGUAUUAGCUAGUAGGUGAGGUAAUGGCUCACCUAGGCGACGAUACAUAGCCGACCUGAGAGGGUGAUCGGCCACACUGGGACUGAGACACGGCCCAGACUCCUACGGGAGGCAGCAGUAGGGAAUCUUCGGCAAUGGGGGCAACCCUGACCGAGCAACGCCGCGUGAGUGAAGAAGGUUUUCGGAUCGUAAAGCUCUGUUGUAAGUCAAGAACGGGUGUGAGAGUGGAAAGUUCACACUGUGACGGUAGCUUACCAGAAAGGGACGGCUAACUACGUG